GUGGCCGUUAGAUGAGAUGUGAACCAUGACAGGUAGUUCAAUCCAUCUAGGAAACCACGAACCUCUCUUUCCAUUCUCGGUUCAGGCAUUUUUCGUCGUUUUUUAUUUAUUUAUUUAUUAUUAUUUUUUUUUAGCAGGAUCAACCUCGAUUCCUCUCUUACAAUUAUGAUGAACCCCAACAUCUUACCGGACCGCACUCUGAUAGUGCACUUAUCUGAAUUCAACCUCAGUUUGAAUUAUCUCAACCAGAUGCCCCUCUUCUGUCUGGGACUUUGCUAUCAUGUCAUAGCAUUCGAUUUCAUGAUAAAUCGUAU
rnacentral:lncRNA from 1 species